AACACGUCAGUUAAUCAGUCUCCACAGUCUAAGAUUCUCCCUGAAUCUUCUCCUGAUAACCAAGAUGCUGAACAUGAAUAUCGUAGUCCACCUCCAAUAUCUGAGAGUAAAGAGUUAUCCCCACAGUCAAGGACUACCCCUGGAUCUUCUCCUGAUAACCAAGAUACUGAACGUGAAUAUCCUAGCCCGCCUCCAAUAUCUGGGAGUAAAGAGAUAUCCCCACAGUCAAGGACUAUCCUUGAAUCUUCUCCUGAUAACCAAGAUAAUGGACAUGAAUAUCCUAGUCCACCUCCGAUACCGGAGAGUAUAGAGCUAUCUCCGCAUUCUAAGGCUCUCCCUGAAUCUUCUCCUGAUAACCAAGAUAUUGAACCUGAAUGCCCUAGUCCACCUCAAAUACCCGAGAGUAAAGAGCUAUCUCGGCAGUCUAAGAUUCUCCCUGAAUCAUCUCCUGGUAACCAAGAUAUUGAACCUGAAUGCCCUAGUCCACCGCAAAUACCUGAGAGUAAAGAGCUAUCUCAGCAGUCUAAGAUUCUCCCUGAAUCCUCUCCUGAUAACCACGAUAUUAAAUGUGAAUAUUCCAGUCCAACUCCGAUACCCGAGAGUAAAGAGCUAUCUCUGCAGUCUAAGAUUCUCCCUGAAUCUUCUUCUGAUAACCAAGAUAUUAAGUGUGAAGAUCCUAGCCCAACUCCGAUAUCUAAGAGUAAAGAGGUGUCUCCGCAAUCUAAGAUUCUCUCUGAAUC
rnacentral:lncRNA from 1 species